rnacentral:miRNA from 1 species
CAAUGCAAAAAGGCCAUUUG